UGUGUGUGUAGCAUAAAAAAGCCCUACAAACAAACACAAUGUUGUAUAAUUCUGUGACUCAUACAAGCUGCCCCAACUGACUUAUCCUUUGAGAAUGACCCUAAGCAGUCAGUGUACAGCAAAACGGUCUUAAGGACAAGCAUUCUAUGGAGGAACACUUAGCUUCGAUUUCGGGCAGCGCUUUGCAUUGUUGUGGACUGCAGGGAGUGGAACGUGAGGAAUUUCACAAUCGCGUACCUGAGGUUCCAGCUCAGCUCCGUCUCGGAGUGUGUAAAGAGUUUUUUAUUUGCCUCGCUCAGCCGCUCCCUCUACUUAAACACAGACUCAGUCCUCUCAAGGCCAAGGCAAGACAGCCAAGCCCCAGGUCAACCCAACACAGCGGGAGGGAGAGGACAGUCUUAGAGAUGCGCAAAUACGUGCUGUUUUCAAUUCGAACAGAGAUUGAGGGGGCAAAGGGGGCUGGUGAGCAUUAAGAGUAAUUCAUAAACCCUAGAAUGCUGAAAAAAGCAUGUUAUCAAUAGCGUUUUCAUAUUGACUUAACACAUUCCACUCAGUGCCAUAAAAAAUGCCAUUGUGAAGGCUGAGAAAACUGAUUUAGUUGUCAUCAGCCAAUAUAUAAUACUAAUACGAUAAUGACUAGUGGUAGCGUGGUUCAACCUUUUGUUUUCAAUACUGUAUGUGGUUCCAUAUUUAUUUGUAAUAUUUAACACUCUAAAAACCCCUGGAAAACAGAUUUCAAAGACACCAGAAAUGUAAAAUGGUAAUGGACAGCGGAUGAAAAUAACAUUGCAGUUAUAAGGGAAAGUUGAGGAAACAAAUAAGUGAGCACAUGAGAGUAAACCAUCUGCUGCAGCAUGCUUUGUUCAAUUGCCAUUUGACCUGAGGACACAGAUAGUAUCUAUUUAAUGAACUUGGGGUGCUUGUGGCCUGUGCCAUAUUACCUGGAGCAACAGUAAUUUCUCUGGAAAUGUAGUCAACGUUCAACACGGCUGACCACAGUAACCACUGAAAAGUGUUAGCGUCGUACAAUUCCCCAUGGCACCAUAAGAAGUGCUGCCUUUCUACCUAAGUGUUUAGAGACAUUCCACAAGAACAGCGAUUUCAAAACAUUCCCACACUCAGUAGUCUGCUGGACAGGUUCUAGGAUGUUGCUCACCGAACAACAUCACAGCCAAUAUUUUUCAUAUUGAUUGAAAAAUUAAUUUUUAACUACAUGUGUCUGCACGCUUCAGCUUCUGAGGUGAUAGAUAAGGAUAAGUGGUGUAACGUCAUCAAAGAUCAGGAGUGGAGCAAAAUGAUCCCAAAGAUUACUGCUGCUGAAGAAAAGAGAGAGAGAGAGAGAGAGAGAGAGAGAGAGAGAGACUGCAGCAGUUCCUCAUCACAGCCUUGGAUAAUGACCUCAUUCUAGCCGCAAGAGUUUUGCGAUCGAGGGCAGCAUGAUUGUAAAGGAAAGAUGAAGAGAAGAGAAGAGGAAAAGGUGUGAAAAUAAACCAAAGGCUUUGAGGUUUUUCCAACUUGACCACCAUGAAGUCACAUCGGCGGCCUGCGUCGCUCCAGCAUAAAUGACAGGAGGGUGCAUAAAACCUCACCAACUUGCUACAUUAGAACUGAAGGCCCGGCGCAGACUAAUACUCACCACUCACAAAUGUGUUGAAUUUUUCUCCACUCCAGUGCUAUUGAAAUAUAUACGUCUUUAGUGGAGAGUUUCUCAGCUUUUGUAUUUCACGCUGCCCUCAGCAUUUGUAAUUACAAUAAACAAGAAUAUGACAUGC